rfam:Camelus ferus unplaced genomic scaffold scaffold1165, whole genome shotgun sequence.
GAUGGCAUAGCUCAAAUGUUAGAGCACGUGCUUAGCAUGCCUGAGGUCCCGGGUUCAGUCCCCAGUGCCUCCA